GAGUUUGAUCAUGGCUCAGAUUGAACGCUGGCGGCAGGCCUAACACAUGCAAGUCGAGCGGAUGAAGGGAGCUUGCUCCUGGAUUCAGCGGCGGACGGGUGAGUAAUGCCUAGGAAUCUGCCUGGUAGUGGGGGAUAACGUCCGGAAACGGGCGCUAAUACCGCAUACGUCCUGAGGGAGAAAGUGGGGGAUCUUCGGACCUCACGCUAUCAGAUGAGCCUAGGUCGGAUUAGCUAGUUGGUGGGGUAAAGGCCUACCAAGGCGACGAUCCGUAACUGGUCUGAGAGGAUGAUCAGUCACACUGGAACUGAGACACGGUCCAGACUCCUACGGGAGGCAGCAGUGGGGAAUAUUGGACAAUGGGCGAAAGCCUGAUCCAGCCAUGCCGCGUGUGUGAAGAAGGUCUUCGGAUUGUAAAGCACUUUAAGUUGGGAGGAAGGGCAGUAAGUUAAUACCUUGCUGUUUUGACGUUACCAACAGAAUAAGCACCGGCUAACUUCGUGCCAGCAGCCGCGGUAAUACGAAGGGUGCAAGCGUUAAUCGGAAUUACUGGGCGUAAAGCGCGCGUAGGUGGUUCAGCAAGUUGGAUGUGAAAUCCGCGGGCUCAACCUGGGGAACUGCAUC
rnacentral:rRNA from 1 species